GGGUGCAUGGUCUAGUGGUAUGAUUUUCGCUUCGCAUCCUCGAGACUUCUCGACUUGCGCCUGUGAAAGGUCCCCGGUUCAAUCCCGGGUGCAUCCA